rnacentral:lncRNA from 1 species
UUGGACCCUGGUUUUGUAUACUGCUGUCCUGCACCAUGAAUUGUGUUUCUCUGACUUACAUGCACAGAGGCUGCUCAAGGGAUGGAACAAUCUACAUGUCUGACACUGUUUGGUAUUUUUCACUGAGCUAAUGAACACACCCAUACAGCAAGGGUCACUGCUGGCUUGGACCUAUUCUUCAAUGGUGAGGAAGAGCAAUAUCCCCCUUUUUGUCAAGGUAGCCGGUUGCUCAGGAAGGUGAUAGCUGUCUUCCUGAGUGACCUUUGGCUUCCUAUACACCAAAUUUAUAAAAUCUUUUAUUGUGUUCACAUCUUUUCUCAUCUUCUUUUCCUGUCUCAGCUUUUUGGAUCAUUUUCUCGCAUUCUUCUUUCACAAUAGGCUCUUGUACCAAUUCUUCUAGUG